CCUCUUACCCAUGUCUUUUGAGUACCUUCGUUUCCUCGGUGGGUUCGCCCGCCGAUCGGACAACAUUCAAACCCUUUGCAGUUGCAAUCUACGUCUGAAAAAACAUAAUAGUUACAACUUUCAACAACGGAUCUCUUGGUUCUGGCAUCGAUGAAGAACGCAGCGAAAUGCGAUAAAUAGUGUGAAUUGCAGAAUUCAGUGAAUCAUCGAAUCUUUGAACGCACAUUGCGCCCCUUGGUAUUCCAUGGGGCAUGCCUGUUCGAGCGUCAUUUGUACCUUCAAGCUCUGCUUGGUGUUGGGUGUUUGUCUCGCCUCUGCGUGUAGACUCGCCUUAAAACAAUUGGCAGCCGGCGUAUUGAUUUCGGAGCGCAGUACAUCUCGCGCUUUGCACUCAUAACGACGACGUCCAAAAGUACAUUUUUAACUCCGGCGAGUGAAGCGGCAACAGCUCAAAUUUGAAAUCUGGCGUCUUUGGCGUCCGAGUUGUAAUUUGCAGAGGGCGCUUUGGCAUUGGCAGCGGUCCAAGUUCCUUGGAACAGGACGUCACAGAGGGUGAGAAUCCCGUACGUGGUCGCUAGCCUUUACCGUGUAAAGCCCCUUCGACGAGUCGAGUUGUUUGGGAAUGCAGCUCUAAAUGGGAGGUAAAUUUCUUCUAAAGCUAAAUACUGGCCAGAGACCGAUAGCGCACAAGUAGAGUGAUCGAAAGAUGAAAAGCACUUUGGAAAGAGAGUUAAAAAGCACGUGAAAUUGUUGAAAGGGAAGCGCUUGCAGCCAGACUUGCCUGUAUUUGCUCAUCCGGGUUUUUACCCGGUGCACUCUUCUACGGGCAGGCCAGCAUCAGUUUGGGCGGUUGGAUAAAGGUCUCUGUCAUGUACCUCCCUUCGGGGAGAUCUUAUAGGGGAGACGACAUGCAACCAGCCUGGACUGAGGUCCGCGCAUCUGCUAGGAUGCUGGCGUAAUGGCUGUAAGCGGCCCGUCUUGAAACACGGACCAAGGAGUCUAACAUCUAUGCGAGUGUUUGGGUGUCAAGCCCGAGCGCGUAAUGAAAGUGAACGGAGGUGGGAACCUUUCGGGGUGCACCAUCGACCGAUCCUGAUGUCUUCGGAUGGAUUUGAGUAAGAGCAUA
rnacentral:sRNA from 1 species